rnacentral:rRNA from 1 species
UAAUACCGGAUAGAUCAAAGAUACUGGAAUGUUCUUUGAUCCAAAGUUCCGGCGCCUAAGGAUGGAUCUGCGGUCUAUCAGGUAGUAGUGGGUGUAACGUACCUACUAGCCUACGACGGGUACGGGUUGUGAGGGCAAGAGCCCGGAGAUGGAUUCUGAGACAUGAAUCCAGACCCUACGGGGUGCAGCAGGCGCGAAACCUUUACACUGCGGGAAACCGCGAUAAGGGGACCCCGAGUGCCAGCACCUAGUGUUGGCUGUCCAGCUGUGUAAAUAACAGUUGUUAGCAAGGGCCGGGCAAGACCGGUGCCAGCCGCCGCGGUAACACCGGCGGCCCGAGUGGUAGCCGUUAUUAUUGGGUUUAAAGGGUCCGUAGCCGGCCUAUUAAGUCUCUUGGGAAAUCUGGCGACUCAAUCGUCAGGCGUCC